CAGGGCAGAGGGAUGUGGGAGACAGAGGCAAGGGAAAAAUUUCAGAGGUGGGAAGAAAGAAUAAAGAAUAGUUCCCUGCAGAGAGAGAGGGAAAUCAGGGUAGGAUAUGAUCUGAGAGAGAGUUUCAUCUGCCUUCACUGUACUUGAGGCAGAGAGAGGCACCAUGAGGACAGGGUUCUGCCUUCUGGGAGCUCACGGCCCCAUGAAGGAGGCAGGCACACUCACAAGAAACUAGGCUGCAAGGCUGAGUGAAAGGAAUUUGCCAAUAAAGCUGCAAAAUCAGGUCACUGGAUGCCAGAGGAGGGGGUUGAAACAGGGACAGCCAUGACCGAAUUUAUCUUGAAAGCUGCCUCUACUUCCUCUGUGGGAUGUGAAUUGAGCGCACGCAUGACUGAAGGCAGGAAACCAGGAGACUGUGGUGGUCUUGCAGGGGACAGAUGACCCGGCCGUGUCAGGAAGCAGAGCGGUACGCUGAAGCAGUCAUCCAGGGAAGGACCCAGGAGUCUCGGCAAUUGACCCUGCGGCUUAGGCGCAGAGGAGGAAAUGGACAGGAAACUGAGGUUUGGCUGGCCCCACACAAAGGACAGGCCACAGCCUCCACCCCGAAUUCCAAAGGCAUGGACAGAGAAGUAUAUGCUGCAGAAAUGAUAGUGCAGCCAGCAGACGUCUGCGCCUGGGGCUGAGAGGUUUGGGCAGCCCUUGCAUGGGGGUGUAAGGAGUCUCCUGGGAGAGACUUCUUCCCCCUGAGGGGCAACAAAGCCAGGUUCUGACCACUGGUCCUUCAACUAGAAGAGCGGGAAGCUGCCUAGAGGAUCCCCACAGGGCAGCAGCCAAGCUCAGCAAGAGAGGGGUUGUUUGUGAGGACAUCUGAGAUGCUCAUGUCCAGGAGGAGGAGAUGCUCAUGUCCAGGUGCUUGGCUCAGCUUUCGCCCCCCAGCCGGUGCUGCCUGGGGGCUGCUCAGUCAAUACCUGUGACCACAAACCGCUCUUCACACACCAGUCAUACCCCUGAGCAAUACCCACCCCAUCCAGGGCUCCUUCCAGACGGGGAACACUUGCCCACAGAGCACAUCACUUCACGCACACAACCUCGUGGAAGGGGUGCUUUGAUACCGGUUUUGUGAAUGAGAAAAGAGCAGAUCGGAGAAGUUGAGUGAUUUUUUUUCCCCCUAAGAUCGCCCAGCUUGUGUGUGAUGGAAUCCGAUCACAGCACAUCGUUUUGUCUUUUGACAUCCAGCUGAUGUUCCGUGGUUGUUCCCUUCCCUGGGCCUAUCUGGCAAGUGGCAACCCGCCCCCUGGUCAAGGUCACCUCCUAGCUGACUCCUGCCUACUGGAACAUAGCUGGGGGCAGCUGAGGAAAGCCUCCCCACCCUGAUGAUGGAGUUUAUGAUCUUUAACCUCAAGUAGGCAUGGCUGGGGGUGCUGUCUAGCCCACUCUUCUGAAUGACUAUUUCAUACCUUCUUCUCUGACCUCACACCUUCUGGGAGCAGCCAAGGCCUUGGCGUGCUCCCUGGUUGACAGUGGGAGACUGAGGCAGGGGUUCUGCUCCAGAACUGUGGCUCCCUCCCACCCUGAGUAAGCGAAGGGCUGGGCCUUUACCUGCACUGCCCCCUCCUCUGCCCUGUCCAGAGAUCCACAAAACAAGCAGAUUCCCCACGGUUUGGCAAUAGCUACUAUUGACCCCAAUUAACAUUUAAUAUGCUCUCGGGAGAGAAGGUGUUUUUGAAUAGAGGUUCCAUUAAUACUGCAUUUUUCUCCGAAUGUUCAGGGAUGUGGGAACCAUGACGGAACCAGUCUGUCUGUGUCCUCACAGGGGAGAAAAUCUGGAACUGUAUAGGCAGGCUCUCGCCUGACUGCGUCUCACCUGGGAGGGCUGAGCUGAUACGUGGGGAGGUUCACUAACCCUAACCCCAGCAUCUCCCAGAACACACUGGGCCUCACGUACCACCUCUGACUGAAGAGCACCAGGAACCAAGGAGAAAUGUGUCUUUGGGGCAAGAUAACCUCUCAGAGCCUCAGGGCUCUGGCCCAACUCUGUCACGGGUCACAGAGCAGAGAGAGUCUGACUAGGCUCUAGUCUGCCCCUGCCCCAGGGCCACAGUGUCUUUGGUUCACAAGCCUCUUUGAGCCAGUAAUUACUUAGGGAGCUUUAAGAAACAUAUUGCAAAAAAAUUAUUUAAAAGCAUUCCGUUUCUAAUCAUAAUUCUAGCUUUGUAACUGUCUAAAUGGCUGCUGGAAACAGGCAUUUCCUUCUUGGGCUGGAAGUUGAGGUGACCUUCUUUAGUGGCCAAUACUGUCUUUUAAAACCACAAAUCUCAGAGUUGACUCUGGCAGGUUGCGUGUCUACAGACACCUGGCCAUGCAGAUGAUAUGACUCCCAAAGAGGAGUCCCUUAUGGGUAAGACACAACAGUAAUCACAACUGAAGAAGUGGCAGAAGUCCAUAAAGUCCCCUCAGUGGAGGAGUCAGUUCAAAUGGCUGGAGUUGGCAUUCUUCUAACAGGGAGACUAGGCUGGGGGUUUUGCUGGAAGUGGACCUGUCGGAUUUCCUGGCUCCCCAUAGGCUCGGUGGCCCUAGGCCACACAGGUGGGUGGGCAGGAAGGUUCUAGUGCAGGAGCUGGUAGGCCUGGGUGGGGGUGGGUAGAGAGGCAGAGAUGUGCAGAAGGACUAUGCCCUGAACUGUGUUUCUGAGAGCUAGGAAAUAGUACCCAGGUUAGAGUGGGCACCCUCUGCAGAGUCAUUGUUGAAGGUGCCAGGAAGAAAGGCCUAGAAGGAGCAGCGGGAGAGCCACGCCUUGGCACCAAGACUUCCCUGUUAGGUCCCAGGCUCUGGCAGCUUGACCUCCUGUCCUGUUCCUGUGAGCCUGAUUUCCUGCUUCUUAGUUUCGGUCUCUUAGUUCUAGUCUUGGGGGGAUCCUUGCACUUGCCCGUGGCCACUCCUCAUCACUCCGUUCCCAGAAGCCUCUCUCUCGGGCUUCCCCAGCACCACCCCCAGGCUGCUUCCCCAGAGCCUCAGAGCUCUCUGGAUGCUGUGAGCACUGUGCAGGAGGAGGGGGGGUGGGGAGCACCCCCUGCAGACUCCCGGCCCCCUCCCACAAAGCGUCAUUCUGGCCGCCUGGCCUGGAGUUUCCAUAAUGAUGGUAACGAAUUUAAGAUUCCAAGCCGAAAUUCCACUCUUUCAAGUGGUUCAAAUAUGGCAAUGAUGGGGAAGAGGAAUGUGGGAACGGAGUCUCAAGGUGAAUGGGGUGGGCGUGGGGGUGGCAGGCAGGCCUGAUGUCCAUUUCCUCUCUGAAAUUUCUUCUAUACCCUUUCGUUGCUCCCCAUACCUCCAAUGCCCCACCUUCCCUCCCUCUCAGCUGCUACACUGCUUCCCAUUUAAGCCAGAAAACAGAGAACUACCCCGAUUUUAUCAGUAGCCAGCAAUUCCACUUAAACACUGGACCCUACUCUACUUCCUGGUCAAGGACAUCCCUCCUGGAAUUGACCUCCAUCCACCUGCACCAUUAGUUGUUCCCUCUGUGGGGGAUCAUUUUCAAGCAAAUAAAAUCAUGCUGGGAGAGUCAACAUUUCAAAAUCUACUCUAUUGAGGUGUUAUAAUUUGGAGAUAAAAUGCACCCACUGUUAAGUGUGAAGUUAGGUGAAUUUUGACAAAUAUAUAUACCCGUGUAACCACCGCCACCACCGUCAAGUUCUAGAAGAUUGCUAUCAACAUGCCCCAAAAAGUAUCCCCUUGCUGAGCACUAUCCCCUUGUAUGGACACAGUACAAUUUGUUCAUGUGUUCGCCUGUUGAUGUGCAAUUGGGCUGUUUCCACUUUUUGGCUAUUAUGAAUAAAAAGUGCAGUGAACUUUCACGUGUAAGUCUUUGCAUGGAAACAUGUUGUCACUUCUCUUGAGUAAAUAUCAAGUGAAAUAGCCUGGCCAUAUGAUAAUGUAUAUUUAGUUUUAUUAGGAACUUCCAAACUGUUUUCUGCAGUGGUUGUACCAUUUGACAUUCCCAAAGCAGUCCAUGAAAGUUCCAGAUGCUACACUUAGUACUGCCGGGGAGGAGGGCGGGGGUUCCCCAAAAUUUAGCCACUCGUGUGUUUGUGUGUGUGUGUGUGUGUGUGUGUGUGUGUGUGUAGAGGUAUGUCCAUUUUGUUUGCAAUGUGCUUUUCUCUGACAAUUACUGAUGUGGACCACCUUUUCAUGUAACUGCUGGCUAUUCACACAUCUUUUGUGAAGGGUAUGCUCACUUGCCUGCUGUAUUAGUCUUCUACAUAUCACCACAAAUAUGUCAGAUAAAACUAGAAAAAUAAAGCACAUUUAUUGUCUCACAGUUUCCGUGGGUCAGGUACAGCUGAGCUGAGUCUUCUGUUCCGGUCUUACGGGCUGCAGGGAAGGUGUUGGGCAGUGCUGGGGUCCCACCCCCGGCCCAGGUCUCCUUCCAAGCACACGUGUUUGUUGGCAGAAUUCAUUUCCCUGCAGCUAUAGAAUUCAUGGUGCUUUGCUUCAAGGCCAGCAGGAAAAAUUUGCUGCUGCCUCUCGAACCUCACUUGAAGAUUCACCUGAUUAGCUCAGACCCACCCAGGAUAAUCUAUCUCCCUUUUUAAAUUUUAAAUUUUUAUUUUUGAAAGACAGAGAAGAGAGAGAGGAAUGAAUGGGGUAGGGACAGAGAGAAUCUCUCCUUUGAUUAGCUUUAAUUACAUCUGUCAAAAUGCCUUCAUAUAAUAUAACUUAAUCAUGGGAGUGACAUCCAUAAUAUUCACAGAUCCCACUCAUACUCAAGGAGAGAUAAUUAUACAAGGGCAUGGGUCGGUCAUUGGGGUCAUCAUAGAAUCCUUACCACACCCAUUUUUAAUUGGUUUGUCUC